rnacentral:rRNA from 1 species
AUUGAACGCUGGCGGCAGGCCUAACACAUGCAAGUCGAGCGAGUGGCGGACGGGUGAGUAAUGUCUGGGAAACUGCCUGAUGGAGGGGGAUAACUACUGGAAACGGUAGCUAAUACCGCAUACCAUCGGAUGUGCCCAGAUGGGAUUAGCUAGGAGGUGGGGUAACGGCUCACCUAGGCGACGAUCCCUAGCUGGUCUGAUAGGAUGACCAGCCACACUGGAACUGAGACACGUUCCAGACUCCUACGGGAGGCAGCAGUGGGGAAUAUUGCACAAUGGGCGCAAGCCUGAUGCAGCCAUGCCGCUUGUCUGAAGAAGGCCUUCGGGUUGUAAAGUACUUUCAGCGGGGAGGCGUUACCCGCAGAAGAAGCACCGGCUAACUCCGUGCCAGCAGCCGCGGUAAUAC